CCUGCAACUCCACCACCAGCAUCUCCUCCUCCCGCAACUCCGCCACCAGCAUCUCCUCCUCCUGCUACUCCACCACCAGCAACUCCUCCUCCAGCUGCUCCACCUGCUCUGGUUCCAGCUCCUGCUCCAAGCAAGAAGAAGUUGAAGGCUCCAGCUCCAUCUCCCUUGGCGCCAAGUCCACCAGCGCCACCCACGGAGGCACCCACGCCCAGUUUGGGUUCAAUCUCUCCAGCACCAGCAGGCACAGAUGUGAGUGGAGUAGAAAAGCUGAUUUCAAUGCAGAAGAUUGUUGGGAGCUUGAUGUUUGGAUGGACAAUUUUCUGGUGGCUACUUUAGACAAGAUUCUCAGAUCUCUCAGCUUUGUUAUUAUUAUUAUUUUUUUUUGAAUUUAUGUUGUUACAUUUUGGCUAUAUAUUAUAUAUAGUAGUGGCUGCCAUUUUAGCCUUCGCUCGGUGAUGAGACGUUUAUUAUCUGUAUUUGAUUUUGAGCUUAUACAUACAUUCGGUUGAAUUCUUUGGGAGAUUUUGGGGACAGCUUUUGUAUUGAUGGGGAGAGGACUUGUUUUAUAUUUUGGAUUGCUGUUAGUAAGCUACCUCUUGAUCUCAUUUAUUAUAUUUUUUUUUU
rnacentral:misc_RNA from 1 species